GACGUAGGGGGCCAGCGUUGCUCGGAAUUACUGGGUGUAAAGGGUUCGUAGGCGGUGUGGCAAGUCGGGAGUGAAAUCUCUGGGCUCAACCCAGAGUCUGCUUCCGAAACUGCCGUGCUUGAGUGUGGCAGAGGAAGGUGGAAUUCCACGUGUAGCGGUGAAAUGCGUAGAGAUGUGGAGGAACACCAAUGGCGAAGGCAGCCUUCUGGGCCAACACUGACGCUCAUGCACGAAAGCGUGGGGAGCAAACAGG
rnacentral:rRNA from 1 species